rnacentral:lncRNA from 1 species
UAUCUCUAGCUGCUGCUUCUUCUGUUACAAGCUCGAAGUCAUGGGAAGAAUUCAGAAAGUAUCGCUCCCAGCAUCCAGGCCCUCUAUCUAUGAGGGCCUUCCAUCGCUGGUGUUUGUAUGGGGACGACCAUCCCUCCUUUAGAUGGAGGGAUGGCACCCCAUACAACACGGGGAAUAGAGCGGAUGCUGGGAGGAGAAGACAACGUGGCGCAAAAGUUGUCAAUAAUUUUUUUA